rnacentral:rRNA from 1 species
GAUGAACGCUGACAGAAUGCUUAACACAUGCAAGUCUACUUGAACUUCGGUUUGGGUGGCGGCCGGGUGAGUAACGCGUACAGAACUUGCCUCACAGCUAGGGACAACAUUUGGAAACGAAUGCUAAUACCUGAUAUUAUGAUUUUAGGGCAUCCUAGGAUUAUGAAAGCUAUAUGUGCUGUUGGAGAGCUUUGCGUCCCAGUAGCUAGUUGGAGAGGUAACGGCUCACGAAGGCGAUGAUGGGUAGCCGGCCUGAGAGGGUGAACGGCCACAAGGGGACUGAGGAACGGCCCGUACUGCUACGGGAGGCAGCAGUGGGGAAUAUUGGACAAUGGACCAAAAGUCUGAUGCGGCAAUUCUGUGUGCACGAUGACGUUUUUCGGAAUGUAAAGUGCUUUCAGUUGGGAAGAAAAAAAUGACGGUACCAACAGAAGAAGUGACGGCUAAAUUCGUG